CGGAGGCAGCAGUGAGGAAUAUUGCGCAAUGGGCGAAAGCCUGACGCAGCCAUGCCGCGUGUGUGAAGAAGGCCUUCGGGUUGUAAAGCACUUUCAGUGGGGAGGAAAGGCUCACGGCUAAUACCCGUGGGAGUUGACGCUACCCACAGAAGAAGCACCGGCUAAUUCCGUGCCAGCAGCCGCGGUAAUACGGAAGGUGCGAGCGUUAAUCGGAAUUACUGGGCGUAAAGCGCGCGUAGGCGGCUUGGUAAGUCGGGUGUGAAAGCCCCGGGCUCAACCUGGGAACUGCACUCGAUACUGCCGAGCUGGAGUACGAGAGAGGGGGGUGGAAUUCCAGGUGUAGCGGUGAAAUGCGUAGAGAUCUGGAGGAACACCGGUGGCGAAGGCGGCCCCCUGGUUCGAUACUGACGCUGAGGUGCGAAAGCGUGGGGAGCAAACAGGAUUAGAUACCCCCGUAGUCCC
rnacentral:rRNA from 1 species